CCCUAGCCCGGAUGGAAGUGAAAUCCUUUUGUGCCAGGGUUUGGCUCAAAAGAUAUAGCGGACAGCCGGAAUCAGU
rnacentral:sRNA from 1 species